ensembl:lncRNA
ACAGUUAGAUGGAGAUGUGUGAUGUCGGUUCUUUCCGAUGAGUUCAAGGUUCUUUAUGAUGAGUUCUUAGUAUCCCAUUGUAACAGGUCGGGGACAGUCAAUGUGGACAAGUGGAGUCAAAGAGAGCUGUCUGAAUGGGACAUCAACAGGAUCAGCAAUGGUGGCGGCAGGAUAUUUUCACUGGGGCCUAUUUUUGACGGCACUUCAGCACUGUCUUGCCCCGGCCCAAAGCCGCCACUGAGGAUUAGGAAUUCCCGAAUGUCCAAGCCCUUUAGAAUACCAAGCGCAGUAUCACAGAGUGUCAAUGUCUCACGGGUAAACACUGCUAGGACCCAACACCUACAUGAUUUUAAGACCGACACACUGCAGGACAGCCGGAGUCAGCUCAGAGCUGAUACCAGCCUAAAGAGCAUUGAUCUUAAGCAGUACAGGAAAUCAAUCCAUGUGAGGAAUGGUGGUUUGAAGCCUUUGAAACCUGUUGGCCCACAGAGACCAAGUGUAUUCCAGUGUGCUGGCAUAACUUCAGACCCUAUGAAGAAUGUGCAAGAGAAAUACCACCAGGGUGACAACACGGCUCCUGUGUUCAGGCGCUUCUAUGAGGUGAUGCUUGAGGAGCCACAGAGAAGACGUCAAGACAGGCAAAGAUCUGCCCACACAUCAGGAACGUUUGGAGGUCACAUGGAUGAUGAACACCUAGAGACUGCAACAUCAGAUUACUGCCUGGAGGUCCCUAGCUGCUCCCCAGACUCCCUGCAGCUUCAGCUAGAGGGCCUGUGUCUGCAGGGGGAGUGGGGCCAGCUGGGUGGGGGUAAGAGGUAUAGCUCACUACCUACAAGUCACCCAGUAAAAGAGACUUUCUUCAAGAGUAUGGUGUCAAAAGACUCCCAUAAGGACGCAGGGUGUGCGAGUGGCAGGAAAAUAGAGGACACAAGUAAAGAGGACAGUUCGAAGGACACAGCAGACCCUUUCUUCAUUAACAAGUGGGAUCCAGGCCAGCUUAAAGUCACCUUCACACUUAAAGACUCAAAUGAGCAGAUGAUAAAGAGCAUCCUCCAAAAGCCACCCUCUUCCUGAAACUCAGCAAGAAUCGAGUCCAUAUUCUUUAUAGUGGUCACUUGACAUCAGAGGUGAAAAAAGUACCCAAUUGUCAUACUUGAGUAAAAGUAAAGAUACCGUAAUCGAAAGUGACUUAAGCAAAAGUGAAUUUCACCCAGUGAAAUACUACUUGAGUAAAGGUUUAAAAGUAUUGUUUUUAAAUAUACGUAAGUAUCAAAAGUAAAAAUGAUUUCAAAUUCCUUAUAUUAAGCCAUACAGACAGCACCAUUUUUUUUACAUUUACGGACAGCUAGGGGCACACUCCAGACAUAAUUUAUAAAUUCACCAUGUGUGUUUAGUGAGUCCGCCAGAUCAUAGACAGUAGAGAUGACCAGGGGUGUUCUCUUGAUAAAGAGUGUGAAUUGGACCCUUUUCCUGUCCUGCUAAGCACUUAAAAUGUAACGUGUACUGUUGGGUGUCAGGGAAAAUGUAUGGAGUAAAAUGUACAUCACUUUCUUUAGGAAUGUAGUGAAGUAAAAGUUGUCAAAAAUAUAAAUAGUAAAGUACAGAAAAAAAUACUUCAGUAGUACUUAAAAGUUGUGUAAGUAAAAAUACUUUAACUUUACACUGCUGCUCUACAUUGUGAGGUCUAAGAUUAAAUUAAAAAAGGGCAACAUUCUGUAUGUCUGAUAUUUUAACUCCUGUAUGAGUCAUUGCUGCCCUUGACAACUUCCAUUUUUUAUACUAUUUUUGGAAUUCAAGAGACACUAUAAGGUCAAAAGUAUAUGGACACCUGCUUGUCGAACAUCUCAUUCCAAAUUAAUGGGCAUUAAUAUG